rnacentral:rRNA from 1 species
GACUCAACACGGGGAAACUCACCAGGUCCAGACAUAACUAGGAUUGACAGAUUGAUAGCUCUUUCAUGAUUUUAUGGGUGGUGGUGCAUGGCCGUUCUUAGUUGGUGGAGUGAUUUGUCUGGUUAAUUCCGAUAACGAACGAGACCUUAACCUGCUAAAUAGCCAGGCCGGCUUUUGCUGGUCGCCGGCUUCUUAGAGGGACUGUCAGUGUCUAACUGACGGAAGUUUGAGGCAAUAACAGGUCUGUGAUGCCCUUAGAUGUUCUGGGCCGCACGCGCGCUACACUGACAGAGCCAGCGAGUUUUUUUCCUUGGCCGGAAGGUCUGGGUAAUCUUGUGAAACUCUGUCGUGCUGGGGAUAGACCAUUGCAAUUAUUGGACUUCAACGAGGAAUUCCUAGUAAGCGUGAGUCAUCAGCUCGCGUUGAUUACGUCCCUGCCCUUUGUACACACCGCCCGUCGCUACUACCGAUUGAAUGGCUUAGUGAGGCUUUCGGAUUGGAUUCUGGCAGCUGGCAACAGCAGCUAGAAACUGAAAAGUUAUCCAAACUUGGUCAUUUAGAGGAAGUAAAAGUCGUAACAAGGU